GUAGCUCAGUGGUAGAGCGUCCGACCGGUGUGCGGAAGGUCAUAGGUUCGACUCGCCAAUUUUUUCCA